rnacentral:lncRNA from 1 species
AUGUAUUUUUUUUUGAGAGAUAGGUAGCACGCUACCCAUUUACUUCAUUUAGAAAUAAACUUAGCUGGAAAUGUGAAUCAACUAGGAUUCGAACUUGGGCCUCGGGUACCAACCACCAAGCCCUUUGCCACUUGCUUUAGGGACGGUCGGUAUCGGUCGGUAUCGAGCUCAAUGUAUUUAGUUUUUCUUUUGCUGUGUAAAAUGCAGCGGAAGUAUACGUUCGUACUUUUUCAGAAG